AUUUAUAAAUGUUAAUACAUUACUUUAUAACUGAUUUAUAAAGCUUCAUAAAUAUUUUAAUACUUUUACAUAUGAUUUAUACGGUUUCACAAUGAUUUUAUAAAUUUUUAGAAUUUCUGCUACUUGUUAUGAUAAAAUAAUCUAACGUUCUUCGUGAUUCUAGUGAAACAUAAAGUAAUACAAUAAAUCAAGAAUAAUAUAUCAAAUAUAUUAUUUUAUUGAUCAAAAAAACAAAAAUAUAACGUAUUUGUUCAGAAAUCGAUGAGAAUAAAAAUAAUCAUGCAUUAUUUUGGGGGGAUAGGGGAAAGUAUGAGCCGGGCGGAAGACAUAAAUCAUGAAAAUAGAAAAAAAUACAUCAUACUCUAAAUAGAAAGAUUGACUUCAUAGAUGAAUUAACUUCAACACUACUUAAAACUUAGUAUAACUUAUAAACUUUAAAUUAUUUGAUAUUUGACAAUGAUGACAUAAACACAGAAAUUUUCUUAUAUCAUUAUUACCAAAUAUCAAAUUAUUUAAUAUUUUGAAGUUAUAUUAAGUUGUAAGUAUUACUAAAAAUUAUUAAUUUAAGAUGUAUAAAUUAAUUUUAUAAUAAAUUAAUGUAUUAAAAUUUAUAAAUUAGUUUUAAAGACUUAUCUAUAUAUAUAAAGUUGAAUUGUGCUCAAAGCACAGCCUUCCACGACACAAAAUAGGGUGGGGCUUUUGCCGAUACGUGUCAGCUCGGUAGGGUGUCUGUGUUUCUCACGCUCUCUCUUCUUUCUCGCACGUCAUGGAUUAUCACGCGAAUAGGUUGGGCUUCUCGAAAUCAUAAGGGCCGAUAUUUGUCAGAAGGAGCAAAUAGGUUGGGCUUCUAUAUGAUUAGUUUAGGCCCAGAAGUGUGUUUAGGGUUGUUUUUCUUCUGCGUCAUUCUUCUUCUUCCCUGUCUCCAGGCUGCAGAGAAACCAUAGAAACCGUAACGUCCCAGAAGAAAUUGGUGGCCUCAUGUGUUGAGCCUAAGGUGUUUGGAGGUACUAGGAUUUCUGGCCAACUUAAUCCUGUUAAUCAUCAACUUCAUGACGUGGCUCCUAAAGUUUUUACUUUUAAUUUCAUGGCAGGUAGUCUCAUCCUAAACAAACCCAUUUCCACUAUGACAAAGAAAGUGUGAUGGCCAAAGUCUUUAUGAAGAGUAAGAUUAAAUCCCUCUAUUUGUUCUGUUAACUAAAUUCAUGUUUUCCUAUUCACCUUCUUAAACUUUGGAUUCAACAAAAAAACUCCCCAUGAUGUCGCUACUUCCUCUGGUUCAAUACGAAGUAUGUAGAGUUCCUCUGUCCCGGUGAAGUUGAUAGUAUUGAUAUCACUAAUGAGUGGUGUUACACCUCCUGCUUAAAAUUCUAUAGAAAGCUUCAGAGCGGAUUAUAAUACUCACAUAUGCAGCUUGCUAUAAUGACAACGAUGUUGGUGUUCUCAGGUUUCAUGUUCACUUCUCUGUGUCAGAUGGGUCAGAAUCUGCUGGGUUCGUAGCAUUUGAUGGUGAGAUGACCAGGUUCACAGAUGCAGAGCUUCAGAGGUUGCCUAACUUAUGGACCCAGGUGUGGAUGACCCAGAUUAGAGACCCUGCCACAGCGCUUAAAGAAUUUAGUUGGCAGCACCUUCACUGGUUGAAGCUUUCUCCAUUCAACUUCUUUUCAAAGCAUCAGCCCUUCACAAUAUCAAGGAUCUUCGACAGCAACCAACGUCCUCCACUCCCAAACUUUGCUGGAAACGUAAUUUUAAGCAGUUGGGAGUUGCCAAUAACCUUGGCGAUGAUAUGCCAGGAGCUGGAGCAGUUAAAGCUCAGCCCUCCAGUAAUGUUACUAACGUUGUCCCUCUAAACCACACUGGUAUGGUUGCUUGUAGCGUUACAGAGGAAGCUACAGGGGCGAGUAGUUGCAGCGUUGUAGAACCUGUUUCGGGUGGAGUCACAGCUGACGGUGCACAACUUCCAGAGGAUGUUGACGUCGUAAAAAACCACGCAAUGGUUAGCUUCCCAGCUUUGGGAAUGUCCAAGCUCAAUGCCCGUUACUGAUUUUCCUUUUUUUAAUCUUCUUAGCUUAUUGUCUACAUACAAACUCCCUUCUAUGAUUUAUUUCGGUCUUCUUUUUGUUGCUUUCUAUUUUCUUGGUUAGGUCAGCCAGAAACCUUUUGGUCGCAAACUUAUUUUAUAAAACCCAUUUAUAAAAGCUUAUCGUCUAUUAGUUUUUUUUUUUUUUGGUCACAGAAAUUUCAUUAAUAAUAAAAAGAGAGAAUGGACCCAAAACAUAGUCCUAACUCAGGAGUCCAUUUUAUACAGAAGAGAAAAUAUGAAAAUUUGUUUUAAACUUUUACUUAGCUGAGAAACUUGAUAUCAAGUCUUACAAAAACGAUUCGGAACAACGCAGUAUAUUACUACGAAAACAAAACCUCUGAUUCCUUGAUGAUCAAGCAAUAACAAUGACUAACGUCUAAACCUUAAUCGUUUUAUAUACAUUCAAACAGUCACACAAUGCAUUUGGUAAGGAAUUAUAGAUAAGUAAGAUGUUGAUUACAGUUAAAUACAUUAGGUCCGCUUAGCAGGUGCUUGCUCCUUAACGGAUCCCCUAGAAGAACGUCUGCUUGAUCAACAUAUUGGAUGAGUUCCCAGUUAUGGACUGAUCAUGGUUGAGUUGAUUGGAAAUUGGACUCACUCUGGUUCCUCCUCCCUUUUAUCUCACCGGUUAUUGGAUAAGUUCCCUUAGAUAAAAAGAUAACAAUUUUUUAUUCAGCUUCUGCGUAUGUUUUGGAUGAACAUAUUCGUUGAUCGUCUUCUAAGGCAAAUAAAGUUGAGCCACUACAGAGACACUUACACUAAAUGAAUUAAGCACACCCAACAGUCUUGAAACGCUAAGAUAAUUAUAGUUUAAACUUAGGCAGGAAACUUAUCCAUAAACGAAUUUCAAAUGCAAUUGCCAAAAAUAAAAACAUUAAUAUUUUCCAAAUACCAAAAAUAUAUAUUAGAUUAAAUUUGUGUCAUUUAAAUAAUAGAUAGUUAUUUUAGAUGUUCAAUAUCAUAGUGUAUUUUGGAUAAAUAUUAGAAAUUGAAAUCAUGUUUGAACCGUUUGGUAUAAGUUCAUUUUGGGAUUUUGAAUAUUUCGAAUUCUAUCAGAUAUCCAUUUAGGUUUGAGUUCGGUUUGGAUAAAACCUAUAAUCCGAAAUAUCAUAAAAGAAUAUCUAUUUGAUAUUUAUGUGGGGUUCAAAAUAGUUCAGAUUCAUUUUUAUUGGAUCGGAUUCGGUUUAUUUGUCUAGAUCUACAUUUUUCAUUUUCGAGCAUCAACUGUACUUUAUGUUUAAAGUUCAACUAUAUUAACUUUAUUACAACUAUCAACUAUUUAUUCUAUUUUUAUUGAAUCGAUCGGUGAAAACUAUUUAUGAUAUUUUUCUUUGACCUAACCAACUUCAAACAAAGUUGUAUACUACGAUCGCUAACAACUAUAAAAUGGAUCAGAAAAUUAUCAUUCUCUUUCAACAUAUUUACAUCUUCAUAUAUUUAAAAAUAUUUUAUUUGAUGAAACCAUAAAAUUAAUUUAAAAUUUAUUAAAAAUAAAACAUACGAACCCGGCGCGUAGCGCCGGAAUACCACUAGUAUCAAUAUAAAACAAUGUAAAAAUGAUGAUAAAGUUUUUAAACCAUUUAAUGACUUUUAGCGAUAAACCCCUCAACUAUUUUUAAAUCGUAAAAAAACCCCUCAACUAAGUUUUCAACAUUAUAAACCAUCAACUUAUAAACCGUUAACAUAUGUCACCCUCCGCUACGGUUUUUUAAACGGAGGGUAACAUAUGUUAACGGAAUUAAAGUUGAAAGUUUAUUUCAUAAGAUUUUUAGUUGAAGGUUUAUUUUACGAUUAAUUUUUAGUUGAGGGGUUUAAUUACUAAAAACUGAUGAGGACCUAAAGUCAGUAGCUGGACCACCAACUCAUGAGAUCAACCAUACAAGCUACAUUGGAGCCAGCAGCGACAUAGGUGCACUCAAAGAAGGAUAUCUUUGCAACCAUAAGGAAUUUAACCGUGAAACCAGUUUCUAUAGAUUCUCAACUCAACCAGAGCACGCAGCGAAUUGGUUUCAUACCAAAAAGAGUAAUGGUUUAGGAGAUAUGCCAGUUACAAGUCAGACUAUCUACACUGCAUCCGAAUUGGUUCUAAUUAAGGAAAGUAAUUCUUUGCUUAAGGAGUGUGCAACUCAAACUCACGUGUGGAAACCAGGAGAUUAUUCAUUACAUCUAAGAGCAGUGGGAGAGUUUCUACCAUGCACCAGCAGCCACAUGAUCAAGAUGAAUCCCUUAUUUGUCAACUUACCUUACAUGGAUGCAUUCACACUUGGAGUUAUUAAAGACCAACGGCUCUUUCCCCUUCUGUUCAGGCACGACUUAGAGACUAUCCAGACAUCAAAGGAGAUCCCACGGAUGCAUUUAUUUCUGCCCAAACUCACAAGAUACAAGGAGAGAAGACAACUUCCAUACAUGGACAGAUUCUGCACCAACUAAGUCCAACGGCUAGUUUUUCACUUAUUAUUUCUUUCCAAGUUAUUCUUUUAGGCAUUUGUGUUCUUUUCUAUUUAAACAGAGCUAAGUCUCAUUUGUAAAUCACCCUUGCACGAAAUUAAUAAAGUAUUAUUCAGUUUACAAA